UGGGGAAUAUUGGACAAUGGGCGAAAGCCUGAUCCAGCCAUGCCGCGUGUGUGAAGAAGGUCUUCGGAUUGUAAAGAACUUUAAGUUGGGAGGAAGGGCAGUAAGCGAAUACCUUGCUGUUUUGACGUUACCGACAGAAUAAGCACCGGCUAACUCUGUGCCAGCAGCCGCGGUAAUACAGAGGGUGCAAGCGUUAAUCGGAAUUACUGGGCGUAAAGCGCGCGUAGGUGGUUCGUUAAGUUGAAUGUGAAAGCCCCGGGCUCAACCUGGGAACUGCAUCCAAAACUGGCGGGCUAGAGUAGGGCAGAGGGUGGUGGAAUUUCCUGUGUAGCGGUGAAAUGCGUAGAUAUAGGAAGGAACACCAGUGGCGAAGGCGACCACCUGGGCUCAUACUGACACUGAGGUGCGAAAGCGUGGGGAGCAAACAGG
rnacentral:rRNA from 1 species